GGGUAUGGAAGGGAGUUCGCCAGAUGCUGCAGAGAAGUGCGACCGGCAUGAAGAGGUUGGCUGACCGAAAGCGACGUCCAUCUCCUAGAUACAAGAUCCCUCAAGGUCCACCCCACGUUCCAUGUCAGCAAGCUGAAACCAGUUUUAGAGAACAGACUGGUUCCCCCCUCCACACCACCUCCACCUCCCCGGGUCAUCGACGGAGGUGUCGGCACUUGCUCUCCGUGUGGCACCUGCUAGGCUGAUGGUUGUUCCCGCCCCUAAUUGUGUCCACCUGUUGUCCCAUUACCUAAAGUGUAUAUUUGGUCCGCCUCUCCCUUUGUCUGGUGUUGGUUCGUCUUGUCUUUUCGUCAUGUCCAUGCUGUAGUCCAUAGACCUGUUCUUGCAC